GCAAACUAUUAUUCUUGGCACAGAGAGCAGGGGCUACAGGUACUGACCUAAAACCUCAGACAACUCUACCGAAUGGGUUUGCUUCAUAAAGUCACAGCUGCGGGGGCUCAGGGUUGGUUGUUCACAGAUGGCCUGGUCCAGGACAGUGGUUCCUAUGGUCCUAUUAGGGUUUGACUCACGUCCUGUGGUCGCUGUACAGGGCUUGCCAGUGUUCCACCUCUUCAGGCAGACCUGAGGUCAGGAAAGGCAGAGGCACAAGGCCUUGUUGGUUCUCAGCUUGGGAGUGGUCAAGCAUGGCUGUCACUGCUUCAGUGUGAGGAUACCAGGAAAAUGGGCUAGAGGUACGGGCAGGAUUCUUCCCAUUCUUUUCUUUUCCCUCCUCCCGCAACGUAAGGGAGGCUACUGAG